UAUUGCACAAUGGGGGAAACCCUGAUGCAGCGACGCCGCGUGAGUGGAGAAGCGUUUCGGCGCGUAAAGCUCUGUCAGCGGGAAAGAANNACGGUUCGCGAGAGCCGCGGACGGUACCCGACCAAGAAGCCCCGGCUAACUACGUGCCCGCAGCCGCGGUAAUACGUAGGGGGCAAGCGUUAUCCGGAUUCACUGGGUGUAAAGGGAGCGUAGACGGUGAUGUAAGUCUGGAGUGAAAGGCGGGGGCCCAACCCCCGGACUGCUCUGGAAACUAUGUGACUGGAGUGCAGGAGAGGUGAGCGGAAUUCCUAGCGUAGCGGUGAAAUGCGUAGAUAUUAGGAGGAACACCAGUGGCGAAGGCGGCUCACUGGACUGUAACCGACGUUGAGGCUCGAAAGCGUGGGGAGCAAACAGG
rnacentral:rRNA from 1 species